CUGCGAGUGAAGCGGGAAAAGCUCAAAUUUAAAAUCUGGCGGUUUUGCCGUCCGAGUUGUAAUCUGGAGAAGCGUUUUCCGCGUCGGACCGUGUACAAGUCUCUUGGAACAGAGCGUCAUAGAGGGUGAGAAUCCCGUCCAUGACACGGACUCCCGGUGCUUUGUGAUACGCUCUCGAAGAGUCGAGUUGUUUGGGAAUGCAGCUCAAAAUGGGUGGUAAAUUCCAUCUAAAGCUAAAUAUUGGCGAGAGACCGAUAGCGAACAAGUACCGUGAGGGAAAGAUGAAAAGCACUUUGGAAAGAGAGUUAAACAGUACGUGAAAUUGUUGAAAGGGAAACGCUUGAAGUCAGUCGCGUCUUACGGGACUCAGCCUUGCCUCGGCUUGGUGUACUUCCUGUAGGACGGGUCAACAUCGAUUUUGACCGGUGGACAAAGGGGAUGGGAAUGUGGCAAUCUUCGGGUUGUGUUAUAGCCCUCUUCCAUAUACAUCGGUUGGGAUCGAGGACCGCAGCGCGCCUUUAUGGCCGGGGGCUUGCCCCACGUACCGCGCUUAGGAUGUUGGCAUAAUGGCUUUAAGCGACCCGUCUUGAAACACGGACCAAGGAGUCUAACAUGCUUGCGAGUGUUAGGGUGGAAAACCCUUGCGCGUAAUGAAAGUGAAAGUUGAGAGCCUUCUUUUGGAGGUGCAUCGACGCCCGGCCCUGAAGUUCUCUGACGGUGCUGCGGUAGAGCACGUAUGUUGGGACCCGAAAGAUGGUGAACUAUGCCUGAAUAGGGCGAAGCCAGAGGAAACUCUGGUGGAGGCUCGUAGCGAUUCUGACGUGCAAAUCGAUCGUCAAAUUUGGG
rnacentral:rRNA from 1 species